rnacentral:rRNA from 1 species
CCUACGGGAGGCAGCAGUGGGGAAUAUUGCACAAUGGGGGAAACCCUGAUGCAGCGACGCCGCGUGAAGGAAGAAGGAUUUCGGGAUGUAAACUUCUAUCAGCAGGGAAGAAAAAGACGGUACCUGACGAAGAAGCCCCGGCGAACUACGUGCCAGCAGCCGCGGUAAUACGUAGGGGGCAAGCGUUAUCCGGAUUUACGGGGUGUAAAGGGAGCGUAGGCGGUGCAGCAAGUCAGAAGUGAAAGCCCGGGGCUCAACUCCGGGACUGCUUUUGAAACUGUUGAACUAGAUUGCAGGAGAGUUAAGUGGAAUUCCUUGUGUAGCGGUGAAAUGCGUAGAUAUUAGGAGGAACUCCAGUGGCGAAGGCGGCUUACUGGACUGUAACUGACGCUGAGGCUCGAAAGCGUGGGUAGCAAACAGGAUUAGAUACCCGGGUAGUC